AGUCGACGCAUCGCAGAUGAGUGGCAGACGGGUGAGUAACGCGUGGGAACAUACCCUUUCCUGCGGAAUAGCUCCGGGAAACUGGAAUUAAUACCGCAUACGCCCUACGGGGGAAAGAUUUAUCGGGGAAGGAUUGGCCCGCGUUGGAUUAGCUAGUUGGUGGGGUAAAGGCCUACCAAGGCGACGAUCCAUAGCUGGUCUGAGAGGAUGAUCAGCCACAUUGGGACUGAGACACGGCCCAAACUCCUACGGGAGGCAGCAGUGGGGAAUAUUGGACAAUGGGCGCAAGCCUGAUCCAGCCAUGCCGCGUGAGUGAUGAAGGCCUUAGGGUUGUAAAGCUCUUUCACCGGAGAAGAUAAUGACGGUAUCCGGAGAAGAAGCCCCGGCUAACUUCGUGCCAGCAGCCGCGGUAAUACGAAGGGGGCUAGCGUUGUUCGGAAUUACUGGGCGUAAAGCGCACGUAGGCGGAUAUUUAAGUCAGGGGUGAAAUCCCAGAGCUCAACUCUGGAACUGCCUUUGAUACUGGGUAUCUUGAGUAUGGAAGAGGUAAGUGGAAUUCCGAGUGUAGAGGUGAAAUUCGUAGAUAUUCGGAGGAACACCAGUGGCGAAGGCGGCUUACUGGUCCAUUACUGACGCUGAGGUGC
rnacentral:rRNA from 1 species